rnacentral:rRNA from 1 species
GAUGAACGCUGGCGGCGUGCCUAAUACAUGCAAGUCGAGCGAAUGGAUUAAGAGCUUGCUCUUAUGAAGUUAGCGGCGGACGGGUGAGUAACACGUGGGUAACCUGCCCAUAAGACUGGGAUAACUCCGGGGAACCGGGGCUAAUACCGGAUAACAUUUUGAACCGCAUGGUUCGAAAUUGAAAGGCGGCUUCGGCUGUCCCUUAUGGAUGGACCCGCGUCGCAUUAGCUAGUUGGUGAGGUAACGGCUCCCCAAGGCAACGAUGCGUAGCCGACCUGAGAGGGUGAUCGGCCACACUGGGACUGAGACACGGCCCAGACUCCUACGGGAGGCAGCAGUAGGGAAUCUUCCGCAAUGGACGAAAGUCUGACGGAGCAACGCCGCGUGAGUGAUGAAGGCUUUCGGGUCGUAAAACUCUGUUGUUAGGGAAGAACAAGUGCUAGUUGAAUAAGCUGGCACCUUGACGGUACCUAACCAGAAAGCCACGGCUGACUACGUGCCAGCCGCCGCAGUAA